rnacentral:rRNA from 1 species
GAUGAACGCUGGCGGCGUGCCUAACACAUGCAAGUCGAACGGAAAGGCCCUGCUUUUGUGGGGCGCUCGAGUGGCGAACGGGUGAGUGACACGCGAGUAACCUGCCCUUGUCUUUGGGAUAACUUCAGGAAACUGGGGCUAAUACCGGAUAGGAGCUCCUGCUGCAUGGUGGGGGAUGGAAAGUUUCGGCGGUUGGGGAUGGAUUCGCGGCUUAUCCGCUUGUUGGUCGGGUAGUGGCUUACGAAGGCUUCGACGGGUAGCCGGCCUGAGAGGGUGACCGGCCACAUGGGGACUGAGGUACGGACCAGACUCCUACGGUAGGCAGCAGUGGGGAAUAUGACGCAGUGAGCGGAAGCGUGUGGCAGAGACGCCGCGUGCGGGAUGACGGCCUUCGGGUUGUAAACCGCUUUCGCCUGUGACGAAGCGUGAGUGACGGUAACGGAUAAAGAAGCACCGGCUAACUACGUG